GACAAAGGAUGUGUCUAAGGAUGACCUUCACCGCUGACAUGUAGGUCAAACAUAUUUCCUGUUGAUGAACUUUGAUCUUGACCUGAUUGCCACCGCAGUCCACAUACUUGCUUAUAUCUGCCACGUUCAUUUUCAUCCAUUUGAAAAAAAAAACAACACAGGCUUUUCUGUAUGCUUUUUAAAGGAGGAAUCUUGAUCAAGCGCUUGUAUGGAAACAGAAUAAGGGAUGCAAACCGAAGAAAGCCACUUAAAUAUGAUCAGAAUGGUUAUAAAAAUGUUGAAACACCCCAAACGGCAGAGUCUGUUAUGCUUAUGAGGAAUUCAGUUUCAGCUCUAAAAAAUAUUUAUGCCCAUUUUAAGUGGCAAAGUCAGGAGCCACUGACCAUGGAGCCAUGAAACAGAAAAUUAUUCCCUCUUAAAAUUUUACAGGCUCCUCUGUAAAAAUAUAGUCAGGAUCUGACUUGAAAUUAACCUGGCACCAACAAAAAGCAAUCUUUCCAGGGACUUCCAUGGUGGAGAGCACACAAAGGGCUUGUAAGUUCAAAGAAAACCAGAGGGUAGCUUGUACGAGCCAGAAAUCCAGAGUGACCACGCUUUUCCCAAAGGCCUCUCCAGCUUAUAUGUUCAGUGCAUGUUUACAGGAAUUAGCAACACUUAUCAGAGAAGAGACAACAUUUGUUAUGUAUGUUCACUAAGAAGAUUAGGUCGGGCAGUACGGAAGGAAAAUAAGAGUCAGCAGAACAUUACUCCUUCUGCUCCUUAAUACAAUGGAGUAUUCAGAAAGGUUCUGUUUGGAAAAAGAGUGUGGAGGAAACCAUGGUUUCUUAGAAGGGCAAGGUUCUGUUCGUUCAACGGAGAUGUCAGACUGGUCUCCGAGAAUACGCCCUGGCUGAGGGCUGGUGCAAAGGGGCCGCUAUAUUUUCGGAAGAGGGACAGCACCAGCAUGAGCAAAGACUCAGACUUGGCUGACACGAUCACAUUCCGUCGCUUGUAACCAACCUAGAAGGUUCUAAUCAAAUGAACAAAUCAAUAUCUUUCGGAAUAAUAAAGGGAUAAGCAGAACCCUUCUUCUUCGGGAACUUCGUUGACCAUUCUCCUCACAGCCAGAAGUUAGCUCACCAGAGGUGUCACAGGAAAGAUCUAAAGGAAGUUCCUCUUUUACAGCCUCGUGAUAGAAAGUCUUGGGUACCCUGCCCAAAGCAAGUAUUGUCAUUGCUAUUCUGUCUCCCUAUUCGUCUGUACACAUCCCUGACUUCAACCUACAGCCUUCCCUCCACAAGCAGAUCAUCCUGGGUCAGAGGAUCCGGGCCAACAAGUAACACAAGUCACAGAAGCUCCGCAUCUGAUGGUUAAGCCCCAUUCCAAUGUGGUGAGCCAGAGGGCAAUCAGCUCCCCAAGUGUGAGCCUCUGACCCUGGUGCUGAACCCGCGGAGGGCAGGCUCGCCGUUUCCCCUGCUCGUCUCCCCGCGGUCAUCUGGUGAGCACAAGGGUAUGACUGGGACACAAGCUACAUGGCAGAACGUCAACUGGGUCUCAAGCAGAUGACAAUUAUGGGCAGGCAUUACAUUAAUAAGUUCAUGAGACAAUGCUUCGACCCAAAUGCUGCCCAACAGCUUGUUUUUAAUCAAGAAUUGCUCGGUCUGUGAUAUGUGGAAUUUAAGAAACAAAACAGAUGAACAUAUGGGAGGGAAGAAAAAAAGAGAGAGGGAAAGAAACCAUAAGAGA